rnacentral:rRNA from 1 species
UUACGGGAGGCAGCAGUGAGGAAUAUUGGUCAAUGGGCGAGAGCCUGAACCAGCCAUCCCGCGUGCAGGAAGACGGCCCUAUGGGUUGUAAACUGCUUUUGAGCAAGAAGAAAGGUAUCUUCGGGAAAGGUAUUUGACGGUAUUGCGUGAAUAAGCACCGGCUAACUCCGUGCCAGCAGCCGCGGUAAUACGGAGGGUGCAAGCGUUAUCCGGAUUUAUUGGGUUUAAAGGGUGCGCAGGCGGUAGGAUAAGUCAGUGGUGAAAUGCUGCAGCUUAACUGUAGGAAUGCCAUUGAAACUGUUUUACUUGAGUUAUCCUGAGGUAGGCGGAAUGUGUAGUGUAGCGGUGAAAUGCUUAGAUAUUACACAGAACACCGAUUGCGGAGGCAGCUUACCAAGGGUCGACUGACGCUCAGGCACGAAAGCGUGGGGAUCGAACAGGAUUAGAUACCCCGGUAGC